rnacentral:lncRNA from 1 species
UUUUGAUUUGUAUUAUCUCGCUCUGAGCUAGCCGACUUCAAGGGAACUUGGUAGAGGGAGCUCACAUCGUUCGCGUAAUUUGGUCCGUGAGGUUUCGUUCUGGGAAACCUCAUGGAUUUUGAUACCCGGUUACUUUCGCAUGACGUAAGAGGGGCGUAUGUGGUCGAGAAAUUUGAGGUAUUUGCCGUUGACGGCCCAGUCUCGGACAUCAAUUGAAAGGCUUCUAGUGAUAUUAGACUUUGCAUUCGGGCUUCUUCUACUUGCACUCGCUCUUCACCUCCUGCAGCAAAUUCAAGAAGAACAAUCAAAAUCGUUUAUCGCUUCUUCUAACUCCUUCAGCUUUAAUGCUUUGGUUGAGUGGUUGGACCGAAUUUCAGAUUUAAAAUUAUGCUUCCAUGUUUUUAUCUUUUUUGCCAUGGGACCAUGUUUAUAGGUUAUAAUCAUUGAUUGUAAGCCUAAACCAUUUUCAUUUUAAUGAAAUAUUUACAUUCUUAGCAAAAAAAAAAAAUAA